rnacentral:rRNA from 1 species
CAGUAGCCACGGUAAUACAGAGGGUGCGAGCGUUAAUCGGAUUUACUGGGCGUAAAGCGUGCGUAGGCGGCUUCUUAAGUCGGAUGUGAAAUCCCUGAGCUUAACUUAGGAAUUGCAUUCGAUACUGGGAAGCUAGAGUAUGGGAGAGGAUGGUAGAAUUCCAGGUGUAGCGGUGAAAUGCGUAGAGAUCUGGAGGAAUACCGAUGGCGAAGGCAGCCAUCUGGCCUAAUACUGACGCUGAGGUACGAAAGCAUGGGGAGCAAACAGGAUUGAUACCCGCGUAGUCCCUGUCUCUUAUACA